rnacentral:lncRNA from 1 species
AUAUACAUUGUAUUGUAUAUGCUACUGAAAUAAAAUAUACAUUUUAUUUGCAAUCAAUAGAUGACUAUGCAGGAUGAUGUAUUGUAUUUGAUGUGAUAUGCUACUGAAAUAAAAUAUACAUUUUAUUUGUAAUCUUUUAUUCUGUUUUACUUAUUUUUAGUGGGCCUAUCUUGAGAUAUGCGUGCUUCUAGCAAAAAAAUGCUUCAACCCAAACAAAUCAGACAUUUUCAAUAGUAAAAUAGGUAUUGGGCCAGGCCCAUGUAGCUAGAUUGGUGGACAGGGAUCUGAAAUUUAUGAUGAUUCCAUUUGGUCACUAGCAAUGCCACGUCAGCUUCGCCACGUCAGAUCCUACGUGGCUCACACAAAUGCGUAAUGAACAAACCAAAAUUUUGGUCGAUAGAGACCUGCGACCAAAAUUUUAGAAAAGGUCAUGUUUGUUCAUUCUUGACGGCCAACUGUUCACGUUGUAAAUUCGGUCAAAAAAAGGUCAAUAAACGACAGAAAUGACGAAUCAAUGACCAAUAUAGGGAGUCAUAAUUGACCUUAUUUCUUGUAGUGGUAUACCGACGAUCGAAUCUCGCGCAAGUUCUAUACCGACAGACAAAGGGAAUUGUAUACGGGAUUGAUUGAAUCCUUGACAUCGUGGUUCAUCCGAUGAGAUCAUCGUGGAUCAUGUGGGAGCCACCAUGGGUAUCCACAUCUCGCUGAUGGUUAUUGGCCGAAGAGUGUCUCGGUCAUGUCUGCAUGCCUCCCGAACCCGUAGGGUCUACACACUUAAGGUUCGAUGACGCUAGGGUUAUAGGGAAUUGCUAUACGAGGUUACUGAAGGUUGUUCAGAGUCCCGGAUGAGAUCCCGGACAUCACAAGGAGCUCCGGAAUGGUCCAUAGGUAAAGAUUGAUAUAUAGGAUGGAUGGGUUUGGACGCCGAAAAUAUUUCGGGCGCUACCGGCAAAGUGCCGGGACCACCGGGAGGGGCAACCAGCCACAGGAGGCUACAUGGGCCAAGUGUGAGAGGGAACCAGCCCCUAGGUGGGCUGGUGCACCCCCCCACACCGAGCCCAAGGCGCCUAGAGAGGGAAAGGGGGGGCAAACCCUAAGUCAGGUGGGCCUAAGGCCCACCAGGGGUGCGCCACCUCCUCUCCCCCUCCUGGCCGCCACCCCCUCUCCCAUCUAGGGCUGCCGCCCCCCUUUAGGGUGGGAAACCCUAAAGGGGGCGCCACCCUCCCUUCCCCCUAUAUAUAGCGGGGGUUUUUGGCCUUUGAGAACACGGUUUUCCAUCUCUCUCGGCGCAACCCUGUCUCUCUUCUUCCUCCUCUCCCAUGGUGCUUGGCGAAGCACUCCCGGGAGACCUCGUCUCUCCAUCGACACCACGCCAUCGUGCUGCUGGAGAUCUUCCCCAACCUCUCCCUCCUCCUUUCUGGAUAAAGGUGCGGGAGACGUCACCGGGCUGCAUGUGUGUUGAACGCGGAGGUGCCGUGAUUCGGCACUAGAUCGGAAUCACACCGCGAUCUGAAUCGCCGCGAGUACGACUCCAUCAACCGCAUUCUAGCAACGCUUCUGCUUAGCGAUCUUCAAACGUGUGAAGAUACACUCACCCCUCUCUCGUUGCUGGUCUCUCCAUUGGAAGAUCUGAAUAUGGCGUAGGGAAAUUUUGAAUUUAUGCUACGUUACCCAACAAGUUCGACCACGUCAAAUAUAACCUUCUUGGUCCGGUAGUUGAACUUUCCGCCAAACUUAACACGCAAAGUUAUCUUCCCGUUGGGCUGGCCUCUGCCGGGGUUAAUUCCUUGGAAUGAACUCGUAUGCUUGAGAUCGUCGGCAGGGAUUUGCAGUCUCUUAACCACCUUGGGGGAAAUCAGGUUCAACCCUACCUCGCUGUCAACUAACAUCUUACUAACCUUGAGGUUGCAGACUGUCAGAGAAACCAAUAGCAGCAGACACCCGACCAUAGUAAUGCGAUGAGGGUGAUCCUCUCUGUCAAAGAUGAUAGGCGUGCGGGACCAUUCGAGCGUCUCCUAGACUCUGUCGUUGGCUCCAUGGCGUUAACUUCACGCAUCCAUUGUUUGAGUUGGCAGCGAGAGGAGUGCAAGGAUGCACCAUGUCAACACACAUGCAUCAGUUUCCCUUUGGAAUUCUUUAUGAUUGGAAUCCUGUCCAUCGUCUUCAUCAUCACUCUUGUCAUCUUCUUCGUUCUUCUCACGGCCUCUGACAGGAUUUUCCUUCUGCUGCAGGGCCUUGCUGCGGCGGCCUCCUCAUCCACCGCGACCCUUCGUGACAGUACCAUGUUGGACCUUCUUCUUGUCGUGCCUCUUGUAUACUCUGUUUUUUUUGCUUUUGAGCAAGCUGCUCAACUUGGUGGCAUUCUUGGAGAUCAUGGCCCUUUGGUGUAGUGGAUCUCGCAAUAUGGCCCAUCCGACUUUCCAGUUUUCUCUGCUGCUGCAGCCUCCCAGCAAUCAGCACAUGAGGUAGAUCCCUUGCCGGGGGUCUCGACUUUCGCCUUCUUGCCGACACUAACAUCACCAAAGCCUUCGACGACCAAUACUGCCUUUCCAUUGCGCUUCUUGAUGCGCUUUCGGUUCCUCCCCUUCUAUCUAGGGGUACCGUCAUCGUCAUCAGAGUCGACUUUGACACCCGCCUCAUCUGCAGGGAGUCGCCUUCCUUCUUCACCUUGAGCACACUUGUCCGCCAACAUGUAUAGCUCGUUGAUGGUUUUGGGGAGUUUUCUGGGAAAUAUGCCCUAGAGGCAAUAAUAAAUUGGUUACUGUUAUAUUUCCUUGUUCAUGAUAAUCGUUUAUUAUCCAUGCUAGAAUUGUAUUGAUUGGAAACUCAAAUACAUGUGUGAUACAUAGACAACACACAAUCCGUAGUGAGCCUCUAGUUUACUAGCUCGUUGAUCAAAGAUGGUCAAGGUUUCCUGACCAUAAACUAGGGUUGUCACUUGAUAACGGGAUCACAUCAUUAGGAGAAUGAUGUGAUGGACAAGACCCAAACUAUGAACGUGGCAUAUGAUCGUGUCAGUUUGUUGCUAUUGAUUUCCGCAUGUCAAUGUUUCUAUUCCUAUGACCAUGAGAUCAUGCAACUCCCGGACACCGGAGGAAUACCUUGUGUGUAUCAAACAUCGCAACGUAACUGGGUGACUAUAAAGGCGAUCUACAGGUAUCUCCGAAGGUAUCUGUUGGGUUGGUGUGGAUCAAGACUGGGAUUUGUCACUUCGUGUGACACAGAGGUAUCUCGGGGCUCACUCGGUAACACAACAUCACGAUAAGCCUUGCAAGCAAUGUGAGUAUGGAGUUAGCCACGGGAUCUUGUAUUACGGAACGAGUAAAGAGACUUGUCGGUAACGAGAUUGAACUAGGUAUAAAGAUACGUACGAUCGAAUCCCGGGCAAGUAACAUACCAAAGGACAAAGGGAACAGUGUACGGGAUUAACUAAAUCCUUGACAUAGUGGUUCAACCGAUAAAGAUCUUCGUACAAUAUGUAGGAGCCAAUAUGGGCAUUUAGGUCCCAUUAGUGGUUAUUGGUUGGAGAGUGUUUGAGGUCAUGUCUACAUAGUUCUCGAACCCGCAGGGUCUGCACACUUAAGGUUUGGGGACAUUUCGGUAUUAUUGAAUUAUGUCUGUUUGGUGACUGAAAGUUGUUCGGAGUCUCGGAUGAGAUCUCGGACGUCACGAGGAGCUACGGAAUGGUCCGGAGAUAAAUAUUGAUAUAUAGGAAACUUGCAUUUAGCUUCCGGAAUUUUUUUGGUCAGUACCAAUAAUGUACCGGGAGUGACGAAUGGGUUCCGGGGUUUUACCGGGAGGGGCCUCCCACCCGGGAGAGAACCUAAUAGACCUAAAGGUGGUGCACCAGCCCUUAGUGGAGUGGUGCAGCCAGCCCAAGAUGGCCUACUUCGGCCAAGGAGUAAAGAGGGGAAAAUCCCAAAAGGGAGAGGAGGAAUAUUCCAAGUGAUAGGAGUCCUAUUUGGAGUAGGAUUGGAGUAGGACUCCUCCACCUCCAAUUUCGGCCAAACCUUGAGGGUUUGAGGCUGCCUCCUCCCCUCCCUCCCUCAUAUAUAUACAAGCGGAAUUACAGGCAACCCUAACCCUAAUUAACCACGUGUUUCCCUCUCUCUCUCUAGAUCAUUUUCUCCUCUAGAUUAGUUCCGCGGCGCUUGGCGAAGCCCUGCUGGAUUGUCCACCAACACCACCACCACGCCGUCGUGCUAGAGAACUCAUCUACCUCUCCGCACCUUUUGCUGGAUCAAGAAGGCAGUAUCGUCAUCGAGCUGUACGUGUGCUGAACACGGAGGUGGCGUCUGUUCGACACUAGAUCGGGAUGGAUCGUGAUUGGAUCGCGGGACAGAUCGUGAUGAGAUCGCGGGACGGGCUGUGAUUUGGAUCGCGAAGAUGUUCCACUACACCAAUCACGUUAUAUACGCUUCCGCUUAGAGAUCUACAAGGGUAUGUAAAUUCACUCUCCCCUCUCGUAGAUGAUCAUCACCAUGGAUAGGUAUUGCGUGUGCGUUGGAAAUUUUUUGUUUCCCAUGNNNNNNNNNNNNNNNNNNNNNNNNNNNNNNNNNNNNNNNNNNNNNNNNNNNNNNNNNNNNNNNNNNNNNNNNNNNNNNNNNNNNNNNNNNNNNNNNNNNNNNNNNNNNNNNNNNNNNNNNNNNNNNNNNNNNNNNNNNNNNNNNNNNNNNNNNNNNNNNNNNNNNNNNNNNNNNNNNNNNNNNNNNNNNNNNNNNNNNNCCCAACAAGUUCGACAUUCGUCUUGGCCCACAUCCUCCUGUUGCGCAUGUUUGAAUGCAACGCGGCAAUCACGGGAGCGGGAUGUAUCUCAGGAAUGUUGCGGUGCACUCUACUAAAUUUCUGGAUGUACUUCCACAUGGUUUCCACCACCUUCUGCGGGAGGACCUACAAGACGCUGGGCUGUCCUGGCUCUUGGUGGCCACUUGUGAAGGCGCCAACAAACUCGUUACACAAGUUAGCCCGUGAUGAAAUGGAAUUCGCCCUANNNNNNNNNNNNNNNNNNNNNNNNNNNNNNNNNNNNNNNNNNNNNNNNNNNNNNNNNNNNNNNNNNNNNNNNNNNNNNNNNNNNNNNNNNNNNNNNNNNNCUUAGCUUGUUUUCCUAUAAAAUGGGAUAAUUUGCCCAUUUAGCUCCAAAAAGACAUAAUUAGGUAAUUUAGCUCCAACAAAAGGAGAAGAGGAGAAGAAAUAGGAAAAAUGAAAAGAAAGAAGAAGAAGAAUAAGAAGAAGAAGAAUAAGAAGAAGAAGAGAAGGAGAAGGAGGNGGAGGAGGAGAAGGCGAAGGACCUUCUAGUCCNNNNNNNNNNNNNNNNNNNNNNNNNNNNNNNNNNNNNNNNNNNNNNNNNNNNNNNNNNNNNNNNNNNNNNNNNNNNNNNNNNNNNNNNNNNNNNNNNNNNNNNNNNNNNNNNNNNNNNNNNNNNNNNNNNNNNNNNNNNNNNNNNNNNNNNNNNNNNNNNNNNNNNNNNNNNNNNNNNNNNNNNNNNNNNNNNNNNNNNNNNNNNNNNNNNNNNNNNNNNNNNNNNNNNNNNNNNNNNNNNNNNNNNNNNNNNNNNNNNNNNNNNNNNNNNNNNNNNNNNNNNNNNNNNNNNNNNNNNNNNNNNNNNNNNNNNNNNNNNNNNNNNNNNNNNNNNNNNNNNNNNNNNNNNNNNNNCAUAAGAACCUUGGUUAGCUCAUGAAUAUUAUAUACUUAGCUUGUUUUCCUUUAAAAUGGGAUAAUUAGCCUAUUUAGCUCCAAAAAGACAUAAUUAGGUAAUUUAGCUCCAACAAGAGGAGAAGAGGAGAAGAAAUAGGAAAUAAGAAAAGAAAGAAGAAGAAGAANNNNNNNNNNNNNNNNNNNNNNNNNNNNNNNNNNNNNNNNNNNNNNNNNNNNNNNNNNNNNNNNNNNNNNNNNNNNNNNNNNNNNNNNNNNNNNNNNNNNNNNNNNNNNNNNNNNNNNNNNNNNNNNNNNNNNNNNNNNNNNNNNNNNNNNNNNNNNNNNNNNNNNNNNNNNNNNNNNNNNNNNNNNNNNNNNNNNNNNNNNNNNNNNNNNNNNNNNNNNNNNNNNNNNNNNNNNNNNNNNNNNNNNNNNNNNNNNNNNNNNNNNNNNNNNNNNNNNNNNNNNNNNNNNNNNNNNNNNNNNNNNNNNNNNNNNNNNNNNNNNNNNNNNNNNNNNNNNNNNNNNNNNNNNNNNNNNNNNNNNNNNNNNNNNNNNNNNNNNNNNNNNNNNNNNNNNNNNNNNNNNNNNNNNNNNNNNNNNNNNNNNNNNNNNNNNNNNNNNNNNNNNNNNNNNNNNNNNCAUGAAUAUUAUAUACAUAGCUUGUUUUCCUCUGAAAUGGGAUAAUUAACCCAUUUAGCUCCAAAAGACAUAAUUAGGUAAUUUAGCUCCAACAAGAGGAGAAGAAAUAGGCAAAAUGCAAAGAAAGAAGAAGAGGAAGAAGAAGNNNNNNNNNNNNNAGAAGAGAAGAAGGAGGAGGAGGAGGAGGAGGAGAAUGCCAAGGAUCUUCUAGUCCUUCUCCUCCUCCUCCUUCUCCUCCUUCUCCUCCUNNNNNNNNNNNNNNNNNNNNNNNNNNNNNNNNNNNNNNNNNNNNNNNNNNNNNNNNNNNNNNNNNNNNNNNNNNNNNNNNNNNNNNNNNNNNNNNNNNNNNNNNNNNNNNNNNNNNNNNNNNNNNNNNNNNNNNNNNNNNNNNNNNNNNNNNNNNNNNNNNNNNNNNNNNNNNNNNNNNNNNNNNNNNNNNNNNNNNNNNNNNNNNNNNNNNNNNNNNNNNNNNNNNNNNNNNNNNNNNNNNNNNNNNNNNNNNNNNNNNNNNNNNNNNNNNNNNNNNNNNNNNNNNNNNNNNNNNNNNNNNNNNNNNNNNNNNNNNNNNNNNNNNNNNNNNNNNNNNNNCUCAUGAAUAUUAUAUUCUUAGCUUGUUUUCCUCUAAAAUGGGAUAAUUAGCCCAUAUAGCUCCAAAAAGACAUAAUUAGGUAAUUUAGCUCCAACAAGAGGAGAAGAGGAGAAUAAAGAGGAAAAAUGAAAANNNNNNNNNNNNNNNNNNNNNNNNNNNNNNNNNNNNNNNNNNNNNNNNNNNNNNNNNNNNNNNNNNNNNNNNNNNNNNNNNNNNNNNNNNNNNNNNNNNNCUAAGUAUAUAAUAUUCAUGAGCUAACCAAGGUUCUUAUGCCAUUUUGCGCUUAUUAUUUCAUUUUUGAGCUAAAUUGGUCAUUUUAUUGAGCUAACCAAGGUUCUUAUGAUGUUUUCACCUAACUAAGCUAAUUAUGUCAUUUUGUAGGAUAAUUAGCCAAUUUAGUAUUUGUUGGAUGAGUCUAAGCUACAUAGAAGAAGAGAAAGAGAAGAAGCGAGAAGAGAAGAAGAAGUAAAAGACGGAGGAGGAGGAGAAGGAGACGGAAGAGGAGAACAAGAAGAAGAGAAGAAGGACAAGAAGAAGGAGAAGAAGGAGGAGAAGGAGCUUAUCUCCUCCUUCUCCUUCUUCUCCUUCUUCUUCCUCCUUCUCCUUCUCCUUCUUCUUCUCUUCUUCUUCUUCUCUUCUUCUUCUUCUUCUUCUUCCUUCUUUUCAUUUUUCCUGUUUCUUCUCCUCUUGUCCCCUUCUUCGGGCUAAAUUAGCUAAGAAUGCCUUUUUGGAGCUAAUUAUGUCAUUUCGAGGAUAAUUAGGUAAGUAUAGGUCAUGUUUUAUUGAAUAGACCAUUUUGGAGCUAACUAAGCUAAUUAUGUCAUUUAGGUGGAAGCCUAGCUAACUAUUUGUCAUUUCGGAGCUAACUUGGGUAAAAUGUGUCAUUUCGGAGCAAAUUAUGCUUAUUAAGCCAUUUUGGAUCUAGCUAAGCUAAUUAUAUGCCAUCUAAUACCUAAGUUAGGGGGAAUAGGUCAUCUUGGAGCUAAGUUAGCCUUAUUAUGUCAUUUAGGAGAGAACUUAGUUAAGUAUAGGUCAUUUUUUAUUAAAUAGGUCAUUUUGGAGCUAACUAAUCUAAUUAUGUCAUUUAGGUGGAAGCCUAGCUAACUAUAUGUCGUUUCGGAGCUAACUUGGGUUAAAUAUGUCAUUUUGGAGGAUAAUUAGCUAAGAAUGCCUUUUUGGAGCUAAUUAUGUCAUUUCGAGGAUNNNNNNNNNNNNNNNNNNNNNNNNNNNNNNNNNNNNNNNNNNNNNNNNNNNNNNNNNNNNNNNNNNNNNNNNNNNNNNNNNNNNNNNNNNNNNNNNNNNNCUCUUUCAUAUUAUCCUUGCUUUAAUUUCCCCAACAAUGACAUAAUUAACCCAUUUAGCUCCAAAAUGCCAUAAUAAGCUAAAAAUGGCAUAAGAACCUUGGUUAGCUCAUGAAUAUUAUAUUCUUAGCUUGUUUUCCGCUAAAAAUGACAUAAUUAGCUCAGAAACAUCAUAUUUUGUUCUUCUUCUGACUUUCUUAUUCACAUUUUUGCAGAUUGGAUAUACUACAUAAAUGGAAGCUGGCAUUCAUGGAGUUGAACAAUGUCGAUGGAUGAACUUUAUAUGUAUAUCAUCUAGUUUUCAUUUGAGUUGAUGAACAAUGUCGAACUAUAUGUAUAUGUAUAUAUGGAUAAACAGUGCAAUACUUUGUAUGAUGGUUCUUUCGAUAUAUGGGGAUGUACAUGGAUUUAUAUGUAUAUCAUAUAUGUGUGGUGAAUUAUAUAUAUGUGUUGGCAAGUAUAUGUGUGGUGAACUAUAUAUCAUAUAUAUGUGGUGAAUUAUAUAAAUGUGCUGUAAUAUAUAUAUAUANNNNNNNNNNNNNNNNNNNNNNNNNNNNNNNNNNNNNNNNNNNNNNNNNNNNNNNNNNNNNNNNNNNNNNNNNNNNNNNNNNNNNNNNNNNNNNNNNNNNCAAUGUUCCCCAACAAGUUCGACAUUCGUCUUGGCCCACAUCCUCCUGUUGCGCAUGUUUGAAUGCAACGCGGCAAUCACGGGAGCGGGAUGUAUCUCAGGAAUGUUGCGGUGCACUCUACUAAAUUUCUGGAUGUACUUCCACAUGGUUUCCACCACCUUCUGCGGGAGGACCUACAAGACGCUGGGCUGUCCUGGCUCUUGGUGGCCACUUGUGAAGGCGCCAACAAACUCGUUACACAAGUUAGCCCGUGAUGAAAUGGAAUUCUCUGACACGUGCAUUAGCCACGAACUCACAUUUGGCUUGAGUGCCAAAUGGAAAUAGUUGGCCAGCACCUUCUUAUCUCUUCCUCCGGCCGCUUGGAUGGCUAUUGUGUAGAUGCCCAUGAAUUCUGUCGGGUUGAGAUUUCUGUCAUACUUAUCCGUUAGUUCAAGCUUGAAAUCUCAUCUCGACGGCUAGUGGACCUGUCGCAGCUCGCGAGUGAAGGAAGGACACCCGAUCUCAUAAGGUAGGUAUCCGCCAGUACUAGGCGUGGGGUUGCCAGCGUCUAUGCCAUUGUGCUUGUCAUAUUGAAAGUGUGGUUCCCAUCAUUGAUCAAUGGUGAUACGCUCGUCCUCCUUCGCUAGUAUUCUAGGACACGCCGCUGGUCUCUAUGGUCGCGUGGGCCGGACGAGGCCAUGGAUGCCUCAUCGGGCCUGUCAGUGCACGGAGCUUGUUGGGGCCCCCUCAACACGACCUUUAGUUCGGGCCGUCGUCGUUGUCCGUGGACGACAAGACAGUCCCGCAUGUUGCGAUUUUCUAGCUUUGGCGAAGAUGAUUGAACUCUGGAUGGUGGCCCUCCAGUCGUCCAUUUGUUUCAGCCACUCGUGGAAAACUUAACAACAGCUGAGCCCGCGCCAUUCCCUCCACGACUGUAUCCGCCAUGGCAGGGAGACGGAAUGCGACGUUGCUCGAAUCCAGGUGGAACCAAGAGGAGGGUCAUCGCACCCUUGUCAUCAUGCACCAGUCGCCAUGGUGGUCUGACGUGGGGAAGGCCAAGUUCAUGGAUCCACGGGUCCGCUCAGCACUCUGACUUACUCUCGACGAGGCACGUGCCCAGCAUCCUUGCCCGUGACACGUGACACCGAUGGAUCGUGGCUUGCUUCUGAUUGGGCACCACUAUUGUGACUGCGGUCACUGGUGUAGCGGAAGAGUGGAGUAUGGAUGUCCCUUCUGCUUGCAGCACUAGGGCCAAGCUCGCCAGAACGUCGCUGAUGCUCACCUCCGAUGUUCUUUGUUCCAGCUUCGGCCACGGGAGACACGACAGUGGUGCUUCCUAUGCCGAUUGCGUCGCCCGCGGUGCCCGCGUCGCCUGACGCCACUGCAGUUCUAGCACCGUCCGCAGCUGCAAGCGUUGUGGAUUUCUAAGUAGAAGGAUGGGCGGCUCCGCCGGUCUUCUUCUUGGGAGACAUGAGGAAAAAGAACAACAAUGAAGAUCAACACGCUGCACGUAAUAUCAGGUUUGCGUGAACGAUUCCCCGUGCCUGGCGCGCCAAAGAUGUUGGGGUCAGGUUGCACUCGAUUACCUAUGGGACCAUUGGCCUCGUCAUGGUUCGACGGGGAGAUAGCGUCGCACAAAGAGAAUAAACUAUGAGGAAACACGAUGAUGGGACUCGAGGCGUUUACCCAGGUUCGGGCCGCUAACAAGCAUAAAACCCUACUCCUCCUUUGGUGGAUUGAUUUGGGGAAGAUGAAGCUCGCACGGUGUUCUGCCCCGACAAGGAUUGUCGUGGAGAGAUACUACGUGAGUAUAAAUGUUUUUGGGUCCGAAUACUGUGCUAGGUUGCCUUUGGCCUUGAUACGUCCAUUUUGCAUCAUGCUUUCAUGUUGAUAUUUAUUGCUUUAUGGACUGUUUUUAUACUUUGUGGUACCAUACUUAUGCCUUUUCUCUCUUAUUUUGCAAGGUUUAUUUGAAGUGGGAGAAUACCGGCAGUUGGAAUUCUGGACUAGAAAAGAAGCAAGUCUCAGUCCUCUAUACUGCGCAACUCCAAAUGCCCUGAAAAUCAACGUGGAAUUUUUUGGGAUUAUAUAAAAAAUAUUGGGUGAAAGAAGUGCCAGAGGGGAGCUGCCAGGGGCCCACAAGCCUGGUGGCCGCGGCCUGCCCCCUGGCCGCGGCAACAGGGCUUGUGGACACCCUGGUGGCUCACUGGCCCCCCUCUUCUGCUAUAUGAAGGGUUUCAUCCGGGAAAAAUUAGGGCGGAGCUUUUUCAUGGAUUCUCCGCCGCCAUGAGGUGGAACUUGAGCAUAACCAAUCUAGAGCUCCGGCAGGACGAUCCUGCCAGGGAAACUUCCCUCCCGGAGGGGGAAAUCGUCGCCAUCGUCAUCACCAACACUCCUCUCGUCGGAGGGGAGUCAUCUCCAUCAACAUCUUCAUCGACACCAUCUCAUCUCCAAACCCUAGUUCAUCACUUGUAACCAAUCUCCGUCUCGCGACUCCGAUUGGUACUUGUAAGGUUGCUAGUAGUGUUGAUUACUCGUUGUAGUUGAUGCUAGUUGGAUUACUUGGUGGAAGAGUUUAUGUUCAGAUCCUUGAUGCUACUCAUUACACCUCUGAUCGUGAUUAUGAUUAUGCUUUGUGAGUAGUUACUUUUGUUCCUGAGGACAUGGGAUAAGUCAUGCUAAUAAUAGUCAUGUGAAUUUGGUAUUCGUUUGGUAUUUUGAUAUGUUGUAUGUUGUUUUUCCUCUAGUGGGGUUAUGUGAACGUCGACUACAUAACACUUAACCAUUAUUUGCGCCUAGAGGAAGGCAUUGGGGAGUAGUAAGUAGAUGAUGGGUUGCUAGAGUGACAGAAGCUUAAACCCUAGUCUAUGUGUUGCUUCGUAAGGGGCUGAUUUGGAUCCACUAGUUUAAUGCUAUGGUUAGACGUUGUCUUAAUUCUUCUUUCUUAGUUGCGGAUGCUUGCGAGAGGGCUUAAUCAUAAGUGGGAUGCUUGUCCAAGUAAGGGCAGUACCAAAGCGCCGGUCCACCCACAUAUCAAGCUAUCAAAGUAACGAACGCGAAUCAUAUGAACAUGAUGAAACUAGCAUGACUAAAAUUCUCGUAUGUCCUCGGGAGCGUUUUUCCUCCUAUAAGACUUUGUUCAGGCUUGUCCCUUGCUACAAAAGGGAUUGGGCCACUUUGAUGCACCGUUGCUACUACUUGUUACUUGUUACUUUUCACCUGCUACGUUUCACCUCACUACACCAUCACUAGUUACCGCUACUUUCAGUGCUUACAGUUAUUACCUUGCUGAAAACCAUUUAUCAGAGCCUUCUGCUCCUCGUUGGGUUCGACACUCUUAGUUAUCGGAAGAACUACGAUUGAUCCCCUAUACUUGUGGGUCAUCAGGCCUCCUUUAUAGCUCAAGGGGCGUCCACAGUGGCAAACAGACAUGAUUAGAUAGCUAACAGUGCUAUUAUACCUAGCUCUAGCGCUCAAGACAAAAUGCCAUAAAUGCUUCCUUAGGUGGCGCGCGGGGGUGCGCCCCGGCAGGCUCUUGCCACAUCUUAGCUUGCUAUUGCUUGGUGUCUUGACACGCCUCUGGACAGGUGUCAACUGGUCGUAAUAUGUCUGCUGGCGUGUCGCCAUAGGUCUAGCAAGAGCCACUUAGCCACUUGAGGGCUCGACACCGCAUCUACAAGUGACUACCGUUGUGAUACGAUGGAGAGAUGGAUGAUCGGCUCACGCCUGCCUGGGGAUAGCUUGCUGGGUCUUCUGGAAGAGGAGUGCUCCUUGGCCCCCGGCAAGUGCCAGGGACACGAUUGGCACAUUCUGGGCCCUCCUGGGCUAUUGAGUUGGUCUUGCCAGCGUCUGGUUCCGGAUACUUUCUUGGGUUGGCAGUUUCCUUGGAGGUUUAUGCUCUUAACGCCUGUGCAUAAGUCAGGGGCACUGGGUACCCCAUUACUAGUGCAUCAAAAACCGCUAAAAAGAUAUGAGGAAGGUGUUUAAGACAGUGAUGUUGAUGAGGACGAUCACCGCGGUGAUGGCUCCCCCGCCGGCACUCUGACGCCACCGGGAGAGAGGGGGAAAGAUUAUCCCCCCUUAGUCUACCUCCUCCAUGGCCUCUCCCUAGAUGGGAAGAGGUUCUCCCCUCUCGUACUUGGCCUCCAUGGCUCCCGGAGGGGCGAGAGCCUCUCCGAUAUAGGAUAUAUGUCUCUGUUUCUCUCCUGUUUUUGCUCCAGUUUCUGUCCGUGCACCGUUUAUUUAAUAACCUGAGAUCCGAACUCCGACGGGGCUGAAAUUUUGAGGGGAUUUGUAUCGACAAAAAUAUAUUUUUUGUUGCGAAAGAAGGAUCCCAACCAACGUAAGGGGUAGCCACGAGAUAACAGGGCGCAGACUACCCCCCUAGCCGCGCUCUCUUGCCUUGUGCCUCCUUCGGGCACCGUGUUGCAUUGAUUCUUAUUCCCCAAAUCCACAUAUAUUACAAAAAAUAUCCAGAAAGUUUUAUUGCGUUUGGUAUUUGUUUGAUAGGGAUUUUGUGCGAAACAAAAGCACACAAAAAACAGGAACUAGCACGGGGCAUUGGAUAAGUAAGUUAGUUCCCAAAAAUAAUAUAAAAUAUUUCCAAAAGUAUAUGAAAGUUAUAGAAUAUUGGCUUGAAUAGUUCAUAAAUUAUCGAUACGUUGGAGACAUAUCAAGCAUACGAGCGGUUACUCACUGGGCGGUCGAGUGGGCAAAUUGAUGAAAACAUGCCCAACCAAGUGGCAACGCGUGGGGAGGCCCAGUCAUGCAGCUUGAUGACGACGUGCCCAACCGAAUGGUUGCGUGUGGGGAGGCCGAUGUGCAGGGUGACUAAGAGGCAACACGCGGGGCAUACGAGUGGUGAAGACAUGUUCCAUCGAGAGGCGACGAGCAGGGUAGGAGAGUGGUGAAGACAUGUCUAACUGAUGGCGAUGUGCGGGGCAGAUGACUUGUGAAUACGUGUCCGAUCGAGUGACCAUGUGUGAGGCAACCAAGUGAAGAAAACAUGUCCAACCGAUGGCGACGCUCAAGGCGGUCUAGUGGUGAAAAAGUGUCCAAUUGAGUGGCAACGCGCGGGGCGGCCUAGUGGUGAAGACGCGUCCCACCUAGUGGCGUCGCGUGGGGCAGCCGAGUGGUGAAGACGUGUUGAUAUGGGGCAAACACGAGGGUGUCCCGAUCUUCAGGAAUUGGAGGUGGAUUUGAGGAAGAAGAUGAUGAACAUGAACAGCACGAGGGAAAAAAUGGAGAAAUCAAAGGGGAAAACAAUCUAUUGGACAAGAUCCACAUCAAGUACUCCUCAAAUCACAAACAAUACAUGAGGUGCAUCAAGACCCAAGAACAACAAUGGAACUAAAGAUACAUGGGUAGUUCGUCCAAAUAUCUAGGAGUGAUGGGCCUUGAAAUCCCUGAUGGAUCUUCCCUCUAUGGACCUUCUCUGAUGGAGACCUCGAUCUCCAUAUGACAAGUAGAAGAACGAGCAAAGCUCCAAAAAUAAGCUAUCACUUUGCUAACCCUAGAAAUGAGAUGGGGCAAGAGUAUAUAUAGUCUUAGCCACGAAGAGGUAAGUGGGAGAGAGAUACUAGGCCAUAGGCCGCGGCAGCGUAUGAACAUGUAUGUUAUGUCCGGUGGGAAUCGGAUGUCACCUGACCCGCGGGGGUCCGUACGUCCCGUACACAUCGAAUGAUACGGAGCAUCCCAUGAUCAUCCCCAUGGAUACGUCGCCAACACCUCAAGCUCCAAUUGGCCCCAUGACGAGAGCCCGUGCAUGUCCCAUUUGGACCGAUGUGACAUCUCUACUUAUUGAUUAUUCCUUUGAUGGAAUCAGAAUGUGGAUGCUACCUCAAGCGGGAACUCUACGCACGCUUAGGUACCACGAACAUUACCUCCAAGAUACAAGGAGUGAAGGCCAAGUCAUUAUGGAGAUGGACUCGAAGACGAACGAACGAAAGGACGAAAGGAAGGCCAAGCCACCUCCGAGGCCCCGGACAUCUGGCCCAUGGCCCGGACAUCCGGCCUAGCCAGAAAAUCUGGCCCCUCCUCGUGGAAAUCCGGCACACCAGCACCCGAACCGUGCGGAACCAGCGAUCGAGCCCCGGACAUCCGGCCCCCGACCCGGACGUUCGGCCCCUCGCCCCGAAAAUCCGGCGCACCGGCGCCCGAACCUCGUUGAACCAGCGUCCAAGCCCCGGGCAUCCGGCCCUUGGCCAGGACAUCUGUCAUCCCCAUGAAGCCCCGAACAUCCGGCCCUAAGCCCGGACAUUCGGCCCGUGUCGGGCAGACGUGGGUCAAAGGCCAUGUAUCCCUUCUUUUUCCCCUACACUCACCUUGGACUAUAAAUAGACCUCCUCCUCCUCCUUUCUUGGGUGAGCUAAUGUUUAGGCAUCUUGUUGGGCUUAGCUCCAUCUACUAUCCUCCUCCCAUGGAGAUGUUAUCCAUGUGAGAAGAUCCAUAGUGUUGCGAAGGCCCCUAUCUAGGGAAGAUCCCCUCAUGGAUACAAGGCCCCUCUGGUAGGGAAGACUAUUGUUAUGUCUAUCCGUGUGUUGACCUUGAAUCUUGUAGCCCCAUGUGUUUAUGCGGAUCUAGUUGAUGUGUGAUUGAGGAUUGUUCUUGAGUUCCUGUGUUUCUCUUGAUUUUUCCUCUCUUCCCCCUGCUAUUGUGAAAAGAUCGGCCACCAUCGAUUUGCCCCAUGUCAUAUUGGUAUCGUGAGCCACGUUGAUUCACAUCUUGGAGUCUCAUCCCCCAUUUUCUAGCCAAUUUUUUUUUGAUUUCACCCAGUUUUGAAUAUUCCGCCAAAAACUGGCCAUACCAAAAUUUCUUGGAUUCAUUGUAUUUGAAGAGAUUUUGUUGAUUUGGAUCCGUGGGUUUCGUUGUGGACAAGUCGAGCUACCUUUUCCCCACCAUGCCCACCUUUUUCACCCGCUAAAUCGCCCCAAUUUUGCCAAAUAAAUUGCGUUCAUAGAACAACUCGUGGGAUCUCCAGAUUACAUCUAGAUCGGGAGGCCCGGACAUCCGGCCUGCCAGACAUCCGGUCCUUUUGGAUCGGACAUCAGGCCCGUGUAGGACAUACAGACAUCUUCGCCUUGUCUUGCCCUUUCUCAUCGAUUCUUCAACCAUUUUCUCCCGCAACCACCGCCUUUCUUCCGCAACCAUUUGCAAUUGAGUCUUUGAGUCGCGAGCACCACCACUUCCCUAGGUGUUUCGGCUAGUUAGGAGUGGUUCUUCACCGGCAUCGCUGCUCAUCAUUGCCCUGGAUAGUCGCCAAGCAACUCUUCAUUCACACUUAACCAUAAGCAAAGACAGUAACCGCGAUGACACUCUUGACAUAUCCCCUUGCCAUUGCAUUGUCAUCCGAGCCUAUUUGCGUAACUUUCCUAUCAAGACUAGCCAUUGAUUAUUGCGGGCCAUGCUACUCAUGCACAUUAGUGAUACAUACGCCAUAUAACUUCAAUUGCAUGCAACCACCAUACGUAUCAUAUUGUGGUGUCAUACUAGUAUCUUUUGUGUUUCAAUAGUACCCGCAUACAUAAUUGCUAUCUUGGUGUGCACGUCCCGCAUAGUGACUAUACAGAAUAUCAUCGCCAAAACAAAGAAAAGCAAGCUUUUAAGCAAGUGCUAAGAGCAAUAGCAUCGCCAAAUUGCAUCACAUUGAUAUCAUAUCAUAUCAUACUCGAUCAUCUUGGAUCAAUUGAGCGAGAGACAUUGUGUCUCAUACAUAUAGCAAAGUCGGGAAUAGGAAGACGACACGUUUUGUUUCCUAUAGGUUGUGCACAAGUUCGUAUCACACCCAUUUGGGAAAUCAUGCUAGCGUCUCUCUAGUGUUGUGCAACACGACCGUUUCCAUGGAAACAAUAUUUUGUGCUCAUUCUUUGGUUGCACGAACCCAUUUUUCUAUCCGUGUGUGUGUUUUCGUGUACACUCAUUGCAUUGAUCUAGAUUGUCUUACUUGCGAAUUUGCUAAUUUAUUUCAACAUUAUUGACUCUCAUCUUUGAGUUACUUGAAUUUUGUGCCACCAUCCUAACCAAGCUACUCCAUAAGCUUUAUUUGUGUAGCUGUGAGAAGGAUCAUCUUCGGUACCAAUUCUAAUAUUUACAUAAUUGCACACCAAGUGAUCUUGAUUCAUUUUUAACUUCUGGAUCUCUAAAUGAUAUUGUCUUCUCAUUCUUCCACUCACAUCCACUUGAGUGAUAUGGAUAGGACUACAAUGUCGAACCCGACCUUCGAGGAGCAAGACAACAACGAGAACAACUACGUCACCAAACUACACUUCUUCGGCACACAACAUGGAAUGCGCCAAGCACAAGACACUAUGAACGACCGCAUUGAGAAACUCGCCACCGACUUGCGUGAAUCUGAAGUGCGCACACGGGACUACCUCGAUGACAAGCUAUCAAACCAAAUGGACUAGAUCUGCGCAUUGAUGGUGAACCGCGUGUCCUCAACCUUUACUUCAUCGCGGCAUCGCCACUCAAGUCGCCACUCCGACAAGUACUCAUCCGACGCAAGUCCUCCAUGAGCUCCACAUCAUCAACGUGAUGACCGUCACGACAACCAAGAUUCGGACAAUACUUUCCCUAGAAAUGGAUCACAAGAUCAACUUUGCGAGCGUGAUUGAUGCCAUCGACAAUAAGAAAAAGCUUUGGAGGAAGAACGCAUUCAACAACACUAUGAAGACGAAUAGCGACGCGAAGAGCAAGCGCUUGAAGCUCAACAAGCUCUCCGUGAAGCAACACACGCUAUGUAAGAGCACAACUACCAAGCCUGUGCAGAACAAGAAGCACUCUGGCAUGAACGUCAAGACAAAGCUGUGCACCAAGAGGAGCACCAAGAGCUACGACACCGCUCAAGAGGUCCUCACCAACGACAUCAAGCAAAUCAUGUUGAGCCAAUGGAUGACCAAGCUCCAAGACAAGAACAACAACAUCAAGUCAACAACGACAUUGAAGACCAUUUGCCAAGACAAGGGCCUCGCCUAAAAAACCCACGAAGAGCAUCCCCUCAGCAAUCUCAAGUUCAUGAUGCCUAAGUUCUCCGGAAGCAAUGACAUCGACGAUUAUCUAUAAUGGGCACUCAAAGUUGAUAAGAUCUUCCGUCUUCACAACAUUGAUGAAGAGAUGAAUAUAUCCAUAGCCUCACUUGAGUUCCAAGAUUAUGUUGUCAUUUGGUGGGAACAAGGGAUUGAGUGAAGAAGAGAAAGGGGUGAUCCUCCUAUCACCACGUGGGACCAAAUGAAGGAUCUCAUGAGAGCUUGCUUUGUGCCUACUCACUAUAACCGCAACCUCUUAAAAAAUCUACAACUACUGAAGGAAGACACCAAGUUCGUAGAAGAAUACUAUCAAGAGAUGGAAAUGGCCAUGAUCCGGGCCAAUGUCAAGGAAGAUGAGUAGAAAACAAUGGCGCGUUUCUCGAACAGUGUGAACUACCAAGUCAAGAAAAUUGUGGAUUUCCAACCCUACGCCAACUUACUCGAGCUAGUGCAUCAAGCAUCAAAAGCGGAACGCCAAGUGCAAGAUGACUACAAGUACACCAAGUUCUCUUUCAAGACCUACGACUUAAGUGUGAAAACUUCUACGACUAUCAUGCCUUUGACUACAAGCCAUCUCAAACAACCAGCAACAAGUCAAGCUACAAGGACAAGAUGACUUUGUCAAGCCGCACCCCUACAACAAGCAACUAUAACUCAAGAGCUUCAUCCUAUACUCCAACACCACAUGCCACCGCUAGAACAAGCUCCAUCAAGGGCUUCACGUGCCAAGGCCGCUGCCACAAGACAUUCGAGUGUCCAACAAGACGCACGAUGAUCCUCCAAGAUGACGGCACAUAUGACUCCAUGAGCGACGAUGAGAUAGAAGCUUUGGAGCAUGUGGCCAUGCACCGACAAGUAAAUGAAGAUGAAGAUGUGCAAAUAUAUUGCAACAACGAUUUGAGCCCCGCUCUCAUUGUUUUAAAGGUGUUGACUCUUCAACGACAACAAGACAAUGACCAAUGUUGCCACAUUUUCCACACCAAGGCGAGCAUUCAAGGAAAAUCUGUCAAGGUCAUCAUCAACGACAGAAGUUGCCACAAUUUGGCAAGUGAGGAAAUUUGCUACAAGCUACACUUGGUAAAGAACAAGCAUAUGCACCCCUACAAGGUACAUUGGCUUAGUGACUUUGGGACAAUACAAGUUGAACACACUGUGCAAGUAUCCUUCAAGAUUGGCGCCUAUGAAGAUACAUUGGAGUGUGAUGUGGUUCCCAUGUACAUUUGCCAUCUCCUACUUGGGAGACCAUGCAAAUUCGACUGUGCCGUCAUCCACAAUGGACGGACCAAUCACCAUAGCUUCAAGAUGAAGGGCAAGGAAUGUUUGCUUCGGCCAGUGAAUCCAAGUCAAGUCACCACCGGCAAACAAAAUACAUCCCAUCAUGGAGAGAAAAAUGAGAGAGCGAUCCACCAAAAGAGAGUGAGCGCCACAAGCCAAAAUUGAUUGACUCCAUGAUGAUGGACAAGAAAUAUCUAGUUCUUUGAGCCACCAAAGGAUACUUGAGGGAUGUGAGUGAGAGCCCAUCAACCGUUCUUCACUUUGUACUUGCGUGCAAAGAUGAGGUCGUAAGGACUAAUGCUUCACAACAUCUACCUCUUGUGUUAUCUCCUCUACCGCAGGAGUUCCAAGAUGUCUUUCCUGAUGAACUACCUCUAGGACUACCACCAAAACGAGGGAUCAAACAUCGCAUCAACCUCAUACCAGGAGCACAACUUCCUAACAUGUCACCUUAUCGCGUCAACCCCGAAGAAACUAAGGAGAUACAAAGGCAAGUCCAAAAACUCCUAGAUAAUGGGCAUGUACGCGAGAGACUAAGUCCUCGUGCGGUUCCGGUAAUUCUCGUUCCUAUGAAAGAUGGUAGUAUGCGCAUGUGUUCAGAUUGCCGCCCGAUAAAUGCUAUCACCGUUCGUUAUAGACAUCCUACACCUCGCCUUGAUGAUAUUCUAGAUGAUAUUAACGGUGACACUAUAUUUUCUAAAAUUUAUUUGAAAAGUGGGUACUAUCAAAUGCGCAUAAAAGAAUGUGAUGAGUGGAAAAUGGUGUUCAAAACUAAGUUUGGUCUAUAUGAAUGGCUAGUGAUGCCUAUGGGCGUAUCCAAAGCACCAAGUUCUUUUAUGUGUGUCAUGCAUUAUGUCUUGCGACAUCUCAUUGGUGAUUGUGAUGUGGUAUACUUUGAUGAAAUUCUUGUUUUUAGCAACACUCUUGAGGAACAUGUUAAAAAUGUUAGGGAAGUAUUGCAAUUUCUUAUAAGUGAACAACUGUAUGCAAACCAAGUUAAAAAAGCGGCAUGCUAAAUGGAGUGAAUUUAUUGAGUCUUUUACUUAUGUUAUAUAACACAUUAAGGGUAAAGAGAUUGUACUAGCCGAUGCUCUUUCCCACGAAUGCAUGCCCGUUACGGAACUUGAAUUGAAUGUGAUUGGACUUGAGCACAUGAAAGAUUCAUAUGAGCAUGAUACUUUCUUUGCGAUUCCAUAUGCUAAAUGCAAUGUUAAAACUUGUUGGCAAAAUAUUACAUGAAAGAUGGCUAUCUUAUGCGUGCUAACAAAUUAUGCAUUCCCAAGUCUUCUCUUUGUUUGUUUAUUUUGCAAGAAGCCCAUGGUUGAGAACAAAUGGGUCACUUUGGAAGCGACAAGACAUAUGCCACUCUCUCAAACAAGUACUUUUGGCCUAAGAAGUUUCGUGAUGUUCCACGCUUCACCAACCGAUGUUGUACAUGCCGCAAAGCUAAGUCAAAAUAUCAAUCCCAUGGUCAUUACAUGCCACUUAUUAUACCUUUUCAACCUUGGGAGGAUAUUAGCAAGGACUUUGUGCUUGGGUUGCCUCGAACAAAAAAUGGUCAUGAUUCUGUGUUUGUUGUUGUGGACCGUUUUUCCAAGACGACUCACUUCAUACCAUGUCACAAGAUAGACGAUGCUUCAGAUGUUGCAAAUAUUUUUUGUAGGGACAUAUUGAGACUACAUGGCGUCCCCAAGACAAUUGUGUAGGACUGUGACUUCAAGUUCCUUAGCUAAUUUUGGAAGACGCUAUGCGCCAUGCUCGAAAGCAAGCUUCUAUUCUCUCCGGCUUAUCAUCCACAAACCGAUGGCCAAACAGAGGUGACAAACGAACACUUUGAACUCUCCUUCCCGUGUUAAUCAAGAAGAAUCUCAAGGAAUGGGAAGAUUGCAUCCCCAUCACGAAGUACACCUGCCGAGUACACCUACAACCGUGCAAGAUACUUCACCACCAGCAAGUCUCCUUUCGAAGUGAUCUACGGCUUCAACCCAUUGUCGCCAUUUGACAUACUCCCUCUUACCCUUUAAGAGAGGGUGAACAUGGACGCAAGCGCAAGGGAAAGCUAUAUCAAGAAGUUGCAUGAAGAUAAAAUGUGUACCGCCGAAUGUCAAGUGAAACGCGUCACCAACAAGCGCAACAUCAAUCAGCACCCCAUGGUGUUCAAGACAAGCGAUCUUCUGUGUCUAAACCUUCGUAAGGAGCGCUUCCCCGCCGAACGCAAGUCCAAAUUACUCCAGCGAGUGGAUGUGCCUUUCAAGGUGUUGGCACGCUACAACAACAAUGCCUACAAGAUCGAUAUCCGAGAUGACAAGUACAGCAUGAGCGGCACCUUCAACGUCAAGGACCUAUCUACUUACCAUGGUGAUUAAGACAUUGAUCCGAGAAUGGAUCUUUCACAAGGGGGUAAGAUGAUACGGAGAAUCCCAUGAUCAUCCCUAUGGAUACGUCACCAACACCUCAAGCUCCAAGUGCCCCAUGACAAGACCCUGUGCACGUACCAUUGAGACCAAGGUGACAUCUCUCCUUAUUGAUUAUUCCUUCGAUGCAAUCAGAACGUGGAUGGUACCUCAAGAGGGAACUCUAUGCACGCUUUGGUACCACGUACAUGACCUCCAUGAUACAAGGAGUGAUGGCCAAGUAAUUAUGGAGAUGGACUCGAAGACAAAUGAAUGAAAGGACCAAAGGAAGGCCAAGCCACCUCCUAGGCCUCAGACAUCCGGCCCAGCCCGGAAAUCCAGCCCCUUGUGCCGGAAUUCGGUGCACCAUCACCAGAACCAUGCGGAACUAGCAGACGAGUCCUGGACAUCCGGCCUAGCCCGGACAUCCGGCCCCUCGCCCCGGAAAUCCGGCACACCAACACCUGAACCUCGCGGAACCAACGUCCGAGCCCCCAAAAUCUGGCCCAUGUCCCAGACAUCGGGCACCCCAAUGAAGUCCCAUACAUCUGGCUCUCAGCCUGAACAUUCGGCCCGUGUUCGGGAACACGCGGGCGAAAGGCCAUGUAUCCCUUGUUUUCCCCCCUCCACUCAACUUGGACUAUAGAUAGACCUCCUCCUCCUCCUUUCUAGGAUUAGCUAAUGUUUAGACAUCUUGUUGAGCUUAGCUUCAUCUACUAUGCUCCUCCCAUGGAGAUGUCCUCCAUGUGAGAAGAUCCACAAUGAUGCCAAUGCCCCUAUCUAGGGAAGCUCCCCUCAUGUAUAUUAGGCCCCUCUCGUAGGGAAGACUAUCGUUACGUGUAUCCGUGUGUUGACCUUGAAUCCUGUAUCCCCAUGUUUUUAUGGAGAUCUAGUGGACGUGUGAUUGAGGAUUGUUCUUGAGUUCUUGUGUUUCUAUUGAUUUUUCCUCUCGCCCCCCUCCAAGUGUAAAAAGACAGGCCACCGUGGGUUUGUCCCGUAUCAUCGGACAUCCAAAGAUUUGGCUCUGCACAGGAGGCGUCGUAUUUCUGCUGAAGGACGAUCGUCCUGGCGCUAGUGUGUGUCGGGCAUACGAUGGAUGCCGGUCCUCCGGGCGCUGUAGAGUGUCAGACGUCUCGUGGCUUUCGGUCGUCCUAUCGUUGUAGACUCCAAAACUCUCUCUUUUUCCGUCUCCACUUCCAAGCUUCCCUCACGGAAGGUGCAGGUGUACACUUGCGCAAGCACUCCUCCUCAUCAUCCAUGCAGCUCCAACAAUAUCUAUGCAUGCACACGGGUGGAGUGUCAAGUACUAUACCAUCCUCGAGGGGGUCAAGUGACCAUGUGUAAAGGAGAUGAUUCACCUUUAGACAUGUGAAGUAGGUGUUGCACGUGUCACUUGUCGAAUGGACUCUUGACAUGGUGAUGUAUGUAGGAUGCUCCGCAUCAUCCCCUCCCCUUGGGAAAGAUCUGUUCUCGGAUCAAAUUCCAAAUCACAACUUGGAAGAGAUAGUGUCUACGUGUAGAAGUGGACGACCACCAAGCAUGUAUCAUCAUCUUGCUCAAAAUGAGCACUCUCCAAUGUCGCACGAUCUUCUAAUUCCUUUAAAAUGAGCAAACAUGACAAACACUUGGAAAAAUAAAUGUGGUUAGCAUUAGUGCAAAACCAAGCACUCAAGCGGUUAUUCACCGAACAAGUGUCGUCAUCAUGCAUAACGUAUGGUUUGAGAAAGGAAUGAGGCAUGUCAUGUAUGCAUAUAAAUUGAGCACAAGAAAAGUCAUCAUGGGAUCAAGUAUGCAAAGUUGAGGUAUAUAUGCAAAUAUAUGUGACAAGUGAACACGUAUCUACCUCAAAGUAAUAGCAAGCAUACACAAAGUGAUCAACAAAUGGUCUAUGGUAGGCAUAGGAAUCAUUCACAACACCAAAGAAAAUGAAAUGUCCAAACACAAGGGACAAGACAAUCCAAGCAUAAUGUACGUAUGUUUUAGUGAAGAUAGUGUGGCACUCAACACAAUUGAAAGGGCAAUUGGUCAUCAUGUGUGAGGCAAGCAAGUCAGUGUCUACCUAUUAAUGACGUGUGGCAUAUGUGACUAAAUCACAUUGUUGCAACCAAAAAUAUGAUAGGGCAAACAAUCCACAAGUUGGAUGCAACACACAAGGCAUAUAUGUCACGAUGCAUGGAAAGAUGGCAAUCAUGAGUGAAAGCAAUAUCUCAAACAUGCGUCCAAAUAAGUGGUCCAAGAUGACCAAUAUAUGUCAUGGUUCAAGAAACACAAGUAGGAUGAUCCACAAUAACGAAAUUAAAGAAGGAUGUCACCUCAAAGGCAUGUCCUUGUGCGUCCUUCACAAUGCCGAAACACAAGCAAGUAUGAUGUAGAAGCGGGCCGAUUCAAAGUGGCUCACUCUCAAGAGCUUGAAUUGUCAACUCACGUGAAGUGGAAGUUGUGUGGGGACUCCGACUCAGAAGUCAAAGGCACCGAAUGCACGCGUAUAGUGAUCCCAGGAUCAAUGAUCACUAAACACAUAUAACUGAAUAAUAAAGAGUCUUACAUCCACUACAUAUUGUCUUACACAAAUUAUGCCCAUUAUGGUCAAGUCUUAAAUAGAUAGGGCCUUGGAGGCCAAACAACACUUAAACAUUCGAAGUGGAAAUCUUUAACGAUAGCGUGAACCCAUGUCAUCUUCCUUAACCCUAGAGGCAUUCUGACUCAGAAGCCACCUAGCUCGCAUGUUCUUCACCGAGGUAUUCUUCAUCCUAAACCUGCUCUUCCAUGCCUAGCUGAGUAAAUAGCUGAAGACAAGCCAGUGAGUACUUUUCAAUAUACUCGCAAGCAACACAUGUUUGGGACAAGAUAGACAAUGCAUGGUAUAGCACUAUGAAAGUGCGUUAUAUCGACUAGAGGGGGGGUGAAUAGGAGAUUUUUAGAAUUUCAUCACUGAGGAAAUUCCUUUUGAGGAAAUUCCUCACUGAUGACUAACUUACAGCGGAAACAGUUAAGGAUCAGUUGUGCAAUUGUUCACAACAGCGGUAUUACAGAGUGAAGAUUAUGAAAACAGAUUGCACAGCAAGCAGGCACACAGAAUACAGAUGAUGAUUUACUCAAGUGAAGAAUUUUGGGGUUGAGGAAAUUCAGAGAAAGUCUUCAGCAAAUUCUUCAAACAGUCACAGUGAAAGUCAUCAACACAUAAUACAGAGAAUGUAAAAAGUUGAGGAAUUAAAACCCGAUUCUUGGUGAAGACUGUUGUUGAUGACCGAGUUCCAACUGCUGUGACAGUUGUACAUCUGGUUUGGAGCGGCUUGGUAUUUAAACCAAAGGACACCCAGUCCCAGGACACACAGUCCCUACCGUAUUCUCCUUGAGCUAAGGACACACAGUCCUCGCCCAACACUCGUGGUAAGUCUUCAGGGCAGACUUCCAAACCCUCACAAACUCGGUCACCCGGCGAUCCACAAUUGACUGCUGGAUUGCUCUAGACCAUGACGCCUAACCGUCUGGAGGAUGCACAGUCCUCAAAGGUAAAAGGCUUCAGUCCCACACAGGAACAACUUCUUCAGUGAUGCUCAAUCACUAGGUUUGGUUUGUGGUUUCGGUGGGUGGUGUAUUUCCUCACUGAUGAUUUACUCUCGAAAGCUCUGAGGAAUUGGGUUUCUCUUAUGACAAGUGUCAGUUUCUAACGGAGCAGCCAACUAGCUAGUGGUUGUGGGGGGCGGCUAUUUAUAGCCUGGGAGCAUCCCGACAUGAUUUGACAUUAAUGCCCUUAAAUAAUAUGACCGUUGGAGUGGAUAAGAUCAGUGACUUGGCGUGGCUUAUCGAAACGGUCGGGACUCUCAACUGUGAGAGUCCUCAUGUUACUCAUAUUCCUCACUUGAGGCUUUUGAUAGGAUUUGGCUUGGGUUGAGCAUCAUGAGGAAAUCCAUUCCAUAGUGUUACUUUGACCCCCUUUAACAGUACGGUGUUCCUAUUCAUCAAAUGCGAAGAAAAUAAAACAGAAAGCGAAAAUCUUCACGCUUCAAUUUCUUCAGAACGAUUUUCUUCAGGAACCACCGAUCUUCUCAAUAUCAAUCUCUUUAUGAGGAAUAUCAAUUUCAUCGCAAAUUCUUCGCGAUUCAUUUCUUCAGCUUCAGACCAAUUUCUUCAACUGAAGACAUAUAUUUUUAGGGGUUGAUAUUCUUCAAAUAUCUCACACUCCUCAAUGACCUAUAGAUCCUGUGUACACUUAUAAACACAUUAGAUACUUAACCUAUAAGUCUUCAAACCACCAAAAUCACUAAGGGGCACUAGAUGCACUUACACACUAAGUAGGUACCUUGCACAGAGCUAGUUUUGAAUGCAGUAUCAUGUCCUAUCAUUUCGUAAGCAUGCAUCAUGAGGUUACAUAUAUCAAUAUGAACAAAGUUUGAACAAUUACGGUUUAAUCAUCUCAUCACGUCAUAUGACUUAGCUCAAGUAUUUCUUUCCCACACACACACGCAAAGUUUUGUAAACAAUGGACGUAGCCCAAGAGAGGUUACACACUUUACCCACAAGACUCGGGGAACUUUCGUGUCAUCCACGACUCGCGGUAUAUAAGAUACCCGUGGUAAGCACCCAACAAUGGCUUUUCCUUGACAACACAAAACAAAGAGUCCACUCAUUGGUACCCAUCCCUCAUAAUGUACAUCACGAGUUCAAUACAUGAGGGGACACAUGGUGUGACUGAUGUCUAUGAAACAGUCAUAGUCGUCCAUCCAUGAGACAGUGACUCGGCUCUCUCGCCAGUAGUAAUGUGGGCUCUCUGCUAGCAUCGACCGAAGUAAUCAACAAAGCCCUGUCCCACGAGGGGUAGAGCGGUCAUACAUGUAAGGUUGGAGUAAUGGUCGCAGCUUAAACCAACCCCUUUUCAAAAACAAAUGUAGGAUCCGAAGUAUGUCUAGCGGGGAGUGAUCAGACUAUUGACCAAAUAAAAAUUUAGCAUCUCCAAAUUUUAGUUAUGGGCAAGUUUUAGCAAUUGUAGCAAGUCAAGCACACCCUACACAUGCAAGUCUAAGAGUAUAGAAGCGAAAAGUAAAGACAUGCACAUGUAAGUAGAGGAUAGGGAUAGGAACAUCAAACGCAAAGAUUGACAUGAAGAUUUUUGGCGUGUUUCUGAUAGGUGGUGCUACCGUACGUCCAUGUUUCUGGAGAGUUCAAGCCAGAGAGCAUAACACCCACAAGAUUCCUCGAGGGGAUCAACCCGCGAAGGGUGCACCAAGAAGAAACCUUGUCUAUUCCACCCUGGCUUAUGUCCACGAAGGACUAUCCUCACCCCGGGUAGAUCCUCAUGAAGUAGGCAAUCUCCUUGCCCUUACAAAAUUCUUGGUUCAACUCCACAUGAAGUCGGAGGCUCCCAAGCGACAACUAACCAAUCUCGGAUACAACACUCUCCAAAAGGUAAUGGGUGUCGUAGUAUGAUGAACUCCUGGCUCUUGUGCUUCAAAAGAUUGUCUCAUCAACACUAAAUCACUCUCUCACACAUUUGGCUUAGGUAGAAGAGAUUGAUUGCGUGGAAAGAAACUUGGGAAGGCUAUAAAUCAAGAUUCAUAUGGUAGGACUGGUAUAUCUUGAUCUCAACACAUGAGUAGGAGGCUCUUUCUCACAAAAAUGGAUGGGGCAAUUGUUGGUUCAUUUGGAGUGCUUCCUCUAUGAAUGAGAGGCUGAUGGAGGGGUUUAUAUAGGCAUCUACAAAAAUCUAACCCUGCCGGCAGUUCCAAUUGAUAAGCCACCUUUAUAUAGGCAGUUCCAACUUGGUCCUCACAUUUUUCUAAGGCAGAAAAGUAUUUUCCAUCGAGAAAUAUCAUUUUUGGCUUGAGAAAAGGACAUGGAAAUAAAAUAGAAAAAUAUUUUAUAAAAUAAUUAUUUUAUGAUUUUGGAGAGUUAAAAUAGUGCUAAAACUAGAUUACCAUCUUUGGGUGAAGGCACUCCCUUGACAUCAGGGACUUGUAGUGCAAACCCAAAGCAAGGUUUUGGAAUAGUCAAAAAUGAGAAAAACGUUUUUAUGAAAAUAUCAUGUUAUAAAAAUGCUGUUUUUGGAUCCACUCAUUCUAGCAUACACACAAACAAUGGCAAUCAUGGCACUCAUGACACUUGCUUAAAAAGUUUUAAUAUACUCGGAUUUUUGGAAAGCUAUAGUUGAAGUAAGGUAAAAACAGGGUGUGACAAAAAGUGGCCCUAUGCCACUAGCCCAAAAAUAGCUGGCCAAGCCGGCCCAGAGGCAUGGCAAGCAAGGGUGUGCCCGCCGCGAGGUAUUAAACAUAAUGUGCAGUCCCUUGCUGUCAGCGAGAGAGAGUGGCGCGAGACAUAGAGUGGUGGAUGAUAGCUGGGCCCCGCCUGUAAUCCCUAACCUCGGGAGUGGGACGAAAACGAGCUCACGUGCGAUGGCUCCGGGGAUGGGAGGGUAAAUAGACAGCGGGAAUGGAACCAAGAGCCUUUGGCCAUUCGGGUGGUGGUGGUGCAAGUCGCUGGGGAGGUCCAGGUCGCCAACAACAAGGAAGCCGCUACCGAUGAGCUUCGAGAGAGGUUGCCCUGGUAGAAUGUGCAUGGAAAACAUGCAGAGAAGGUGGAAUAAUGUCAGGGGUGUGAGCUGAGUCUAGAGAAGCGUACUUGAGCACCAGAGGGGUUCCCUACCAGGAGAUCGAUGUAGGUUCGAUAUAGGUCGCUCUAGUCGAUGCCGAGCACUGAGGUUCUCGGAGCUUGCUCUGGUGGUUUGCGAGUGAGAUUGGGGUCGAGGGAGAGAGUCCAGAGGUUGUAGGGUGAAGCAGGGGUGGCUCUUAUAGCCUAGCGCCCGUAUGCCGUGGGCGAAGGUCGACGUGCGGGGCACCAUCUUUGGUCACGGGGGUCCUCCAGUCCGUGCUCGUGGAGUUUCUAGAAGUCGUCUAUGACCAGGGGGGAAGAGAGGGAGUGUAGAAGCUCUCUGGUGCCCGCGUAUGUGAGACCGCCUAUUAGAGCUCUUGGGUGGCCGACGCGCGUGUGAGGAGGGGCAGACGAAGGGCGAGAAAGGAGGGGUUCACACGUUGGCGGCUUUCACACAUCUAGGGGCAGCGACAGGUGUGCGGGGGCUGCCCGAGGCUAUCGGGACCUUGGGUGGGGAGUGUCUGCAGUGCCGGGCGCACAGUAGUGCACGCCAGAGUGCCCGUAUGGUCGGUAUUGACCUUGCCUGCGCGCCCUAUUGUGACUUUUAGUGUCCAGGUCCUUCUGAUAUGCCCCAUGAACCUGAGGAUCUAAGGGAGAGUUAAACGUAAAUAGGAGGAGAGGGAAUGUUCUGGCAUGGUGAACUAGAGAGGUUAGUGGGGUUUACCCCCUCCAAUAAUUGAGCAGAGGGGUUGAGAUUUUUACAUGAGGUAGAAGGGGUCUAGGAGGGACUGUGGUAAGAACUUGGGGCCAAGGAGAACACUCUAAGGUCUCCAAUGAUUGAGUCCAAAAAAGAUAGUAUAAGAUGUUGGAUCAAUGUUUCGGUUACUUAAUGGUUUCUAAUUGCUAUGGUGAUAAACUAGGAUGAUUGAUAGUGCCAAAUAGCCCUUCACACAAAUUUUUAUCUCAAAUGGAGAAAGUGGCCAAUGAAACUUUCGAAAACCCUAAAAAUCAACAGAUCUAGCUAGGAUAAUCUACUCUCCUUGAUGCCCCACUUGGUGUAGUUUUAUCAUUGGGGGAUUAGAUCAUGCCCACCAAGUUUGAGAUCAAAUAGUGACACUUGGCCAUGUAAAGUUGAUCAAUUUUGAAUCUGGACACAUAGGGUUUUGGGGCACUUUGGUGAACCAAAACUAUAAGGACUGACAUGAAAUGUGGCAAGAUCAUCGUAUGAGGCAUAUAUGACUUGCUGGAAUUUCCUUGAUUUAGGAAAUAUUUCAAGCACUUUAAAUAUACAGGAAGGGUUUUGGAGAGUUUUGUCCAAUAUUUUGAAGAUGACCAUGUGUCGAAACUCAUAUAUGUGGAAAAUAUAUGUCCAUUGAGUUUCCUAAAGUUUCUCAAAUAUUCUUGAAACAUUAAAGUAAGGUUUCCCUAUAUAAAUGUAAUGCCCAAGAUGCGAUCCUAUCCUUAUUUUGGCCCGAGGGCCUCGACAGGGAUAGAAGUGCAUCUCGUCGUUUUGCAAGAAUUGAUAUCGUUACAAGUACAUGUACUAAAGAGAUGAGUGUAUGGAAUUGGCUUACACUCGCCACAAACUACAACAAUAUCACAUCAAUACAUCAACAUAUUCAAUAACCAUGUAGAAGAGCAGGGCCUGACAACGGACGAAAACAAACGAGAAAAUAUUGAUGUCCAUCCUUGCUAUACGAGGUUGCCGGCCUGGAACCCAUCCUAGAUCGAUGAUGAAGAAGAAGAAAAUCCAGAUAGAACAAUCAUCGUGCUCACGUCAAUGUCAUGCUUUACCUGCACCUGCAACUUGUGUUGUAGUAAUCUGUGAGACACAUGGACUCAGCAAUCUCAUUUCCAAAGGUAUCAAGACUAGCAAAGCUUAAUGUGUGAGCUAUGGUAAAGUGGUGAGGCUGCAACAAGUGAUUAAGCAUUUAUCUGAGGUGGUUGACUUACAAGUACAAGAUUAAAAGGGGGAUGAUCUAUGCAUAACAUACAUGAACUAAUAAUGAUCAAAUGAAUGAUCUUGAACACCUACUUACGUCAAACAUAACCACACUGUGUCCUCGAUCAGAGAAAGAUCUCACAAAAGAGAUAGUCACGGUUACACACACAGUUGGCAUAUUUUAGUUAAGCUUACUUCAAGUUAUCUAGAACCGGAUGUUAAACAAAGUUUCCAAGUUUGCCACAUAACCGCGGGCAUGGCNNNNNNNNNNAAAAGAUUUAACCCUGCAGGGGUGCUCCAACUAGUCCAUCACAAAGUACCACAAACCACAUAGAAACCCUCAAUCACGAAACUUGUGAUCUCCUCAGAUUCCUUAGUGAGAACGAGAUACGCGGCUCCUAACGGGGUCGUCGACACAUCGGGCGGCCUUGUUGGACUUGUUUUACCUUCUAUGAAAUAUCUUGUGCAUCGGGAUUCCAGUGAUUGAUGGUUUGGGUUAUCUCAGAGUUGAGGUUUUCCACUAAGGAAUCCGAGGAGAUCACGAGUUUAGUGAUCGAGGCUUUUUAUGAGGCUUGUGGUAAUUUGUGAUGGACUAGUUGGAGCACCCGUGCAGGGUUAAAUCUUUCGGAAAGCCGUGCCCACGGUUAUGUGGCAACUUGGAAACUUUGUUUAACAUCUGGUUCUAGACAACUUGAAGUAAGCUUAAUUAAAAUAUGCCAACUGCGAGCGUAACCAUGACUUUCUCUCUCGUGAGUUCCUUUUUCUGAAUGACGACAUGGUGGGGUUAUGUCUGACAUAUGUAGGUGUUCAAGAUCAUUCAUUUGAUCAUCAUUAAUUCACGUCUGUUAUGCGUAGCUCAUACCCCUCGUUUGUUCUUGUACUCGUAAGUUACCCACCUCAAAUAAAUGCUUAGUCGCUUGCUGCAGCCUCACCAUUUAACCAUACCUCACACAUUAAGCUUUGCUAGUCUUGAUACCUUUAGAAAUGAGAUUACUGUGUCCCCUGUGGCUCACAGAUUACUACAACAACAGUUGUAGGUACAUGUAAAGAGUUACUUUGACGUGAGCGCGAUGAUUGCUCUAUUUGGAGUUUCUUCUUCUUCUUCUUCUUCUUCAUCGAUCUAGGAUGGGUUCCGGUCGGUAGCUUGGGAUAGCAAGGAUGGACGUCGUUCUUUUAUCGUUUGUUUUCGUCCAUAGUUGGAUCCCACUCUUCUAGAUGAUGAUUGUAUAUUGUUGUAUAGAUGUGAUCUUUAUGUAGCUUGUGGAGAGUGUAAGCCAACUACUUAUACUCAUCUUUUCAGUAUGUGUACUUGUAACAAUAUCCAUUAUUGCUGUAGCGACCCGACUCAAAAAGAGUCAAGCCUCUAUGUAUCUGUGCCAUCCCUGGAUCAGUAUGCUAGCACACACAGUACAUCAUUGUAUAUAUCAAAGUGCAAUCACAUGUAAAUAACGUAAAAUUGAUAUAUACCUCAAAAUCUCAGUGGAAACAGUUAAGGGAGUGGAGCCCCAAUAAACACCAACGGCAGGUAGAGUGCAGACCGUAACCCUAAAUCAUAAUGUUACUCGUCGAAGAAAGUAUCUGCAACAUAAGAAGUUGCAGCCGUGUAGGUCACGAUAUUGAAUAUGCCGGCAAGUCACAAAAGGGAGGAGUCAAAAUAUCAUCUAUACUAUAUGCAUAUAUGGCAGGUGGGGCUGUAGUUUAAGUUUUGCGUAAAGCAAAUUUUUCCUACAACAAGAGAGAGGUAAAAGCAAAAAUUACUACAUUGUUGGUUGUUAAUGAGAAGGUUCCACCAACAAUUUCUCAUACCCAAGUUAUCAAUAACCCACAUCAAAUAGAUUUAAUGGUGUUGAGAAUUCCUGAUAGUUUCAAUACCUUUGGCUCAAGUUGUCCAUGAAGCACACGACUAAUCAAUUAGGUUUGAGUACUCUGCAGAGUUUUGCACACGUUCCCCACAAGAUUUGAUCGCCUCCAUUGGAGUCCUCGCACUUCAGGGUGUUUGAGAACCGGAUGAUCAAAACAUGGUCUACCAAAGGGUUCCUCCGAGCCACUGUCGGUGCCCAUCCAAUCCUACCAUUCUUCUACAUCUCGUAGCACCGCUUGUCCAGAGUCACCACAAUGUCCAACCAAGCCAGAGCCCGUAAUGACUUGUGGCUGUGCAGGUAAGCCUCGGGUCUUGAAUUAACCAUCCAUCUCUUUGUGCCUGGGUGAAGCUUUCCGCAAGAUGUCAUGGCACUUCCCCACGCAUCCCGGGUCAUCCACUGGUUUCCCCAGGGAGCCCAUCAAAACCGUCCUACACCGAGAGGUAUAUUGCAUCAUGAGGUCUUGAAAGUCUUGAAGUAUUUAGGUCUUGAUUAUUAAGUUCUCGCAACACUCAUGGUAAACACUCAACCAGACCCCUUCUACUAGGAGCAUAGCAAAUUAACGUCCCGGCCAAGUACCAAGAGUUUAUGAGUGCCUAGCACAUGAUACUACAUCAAGAACCAAAAUUUACAAGUACCUACUUGCAUGCAAUGGGUGAAGAAGGUUGAUCUAAUGCAACAAAACCAUAGGUAAAUUAUGAUCAAAGUGAACUUGCCUGGUAAGGUUGUUGAAUAUAGAUAUCGCUCACAGGAAAAACUGGAUAGAACUAUUCGUCACUCUCCGAUGAAAUCUAUAUAAUCAAACAUAGUAUUCAUGUAAGCAAUCAUACUAGCAAUAUUCCUAGCAAUCAGUAUAACAACAUAAAAUAGAAUUUAUCCAAUAAAUCAAAUCAAACGAGAAUCCAAAGAAACUUCAAAGAAAAACUCUAGAGCCUUCUACUAUAACAAUCACUAAAUAGUGUUUGUUCUAAUUAAACUUAACAGCAAAUAAAACACUAAAAUAAUAAAUAACAUAAAAUAAAAUAUAAAAUUAACUAACAUAACAUAAAGUAUCUCGUCGUUUAGCAAGAAUGGAUAUCGUUACAAGUACAUGUAGUGAAGAGAUGAGUACAUGGAAUUGGCUUACACUCGCCACAAGCUACAACAAUAUCACAUCAAUACAUCAAUAUAUUCAAUCACCAUGUAGAAGAGAAGGGACCCACUACGGACAAAAAUAAAGAUAAAAGAUCGACGUCCAUCCUUGUUAUCCCAGGCUGUCAACCUGAAACCCAUCCUAGAUCGAUGAAUAAGAAGAAACUCCAAAUAGAACAAUCAUUGCGCUCACAUCAAAGUAAAGCUUUACCUGCACCUACAACUGGUGUUGUAGUAAUGUAUGAGCCAAACGGACUCAGCAAUCUCAUUUCCAAAGGUAUCAAGACUAUCAUAGCUUAAUGGGUGAGGUAUGGUUAAGUGGUGAGGCUGCAACAAACGACUAAGCAUUUAUCCGAGGUGGCUAACUUACGAGUACAAGAUUAAAAGGGGGAUGAUCUACGCAUAACGGACGUGAACUAAUAAUGAUCAAAUAAAUGAUCCUGAACACCUACUUACGUCAAACAUAACCCCACCAUGUCCUGCGUCAAAUAAGGAGCUCACGAAAGAGACAAUCACGGUUAUGCACAAAGUUGGCAUAUUUUAAUUAAGCUUACUUCAAGUUAUCUUGAAAUGGAUGUUAAACAAAGUUUCCAAGUUUGCCACAUAACCGCGGGCAUGGCUUUCCGAAAUAUUUAAUCCUACAUGGGUGCUCCAACUAGUCCAUCACAAAUUACCACAAGCUGCAUAGAAAGCCUCGAUCACGAAACUCGUGAUCUCCUCAGAUUCCUUAGUGGAAAACCUUAACUCUGAGAUAGCCCAAAGCAUCACCGGAAACCCGAUGCACAAGAUAUUUCACAAAAGAUAAGACAAGUCCAGCAAGGCCGCCCGACGUGUCGACAAACUCGAUAGGAGUCGCGUGUCUCGUUCUCAGGAAACGACUGGAUGGGACUAGCUAUGAGUUAAACCAAUCCUCGAGUUUCCUCGUGGUGGCCCCGCAGGCAGCCUGUUUUGGACAAACACUCAUGAGGAGCACUCUCACGGGUGUCGAUUAAUUAUCCACGGGUUAAUAGCUCCUGAUGCGGUUCAUUAGUUAUUAGGCAAAUGUAGUACCAAAGUUGGUCCUAGCCAGACCAGUCUUAAACUUAAACGAAUUAUCAAGGGGGUCCCCAUAACAACCCCGAGUGUGUUAGGAGCGCUCAAUUAUAGAACAUAACACCGGUAGCCUAAACUAAGGCGGUAAAGGUGGAACAAAACACCAGGCUAGAAGGCCAAGCCUUCCACCUUUUACCAAGUAUAUAGGUGUAUUAAAUUAAGUAGCAAUCAUAAGUAGAUAUAACAAGGACCCAUGUUUUCACAUGGAAGCAACUGCACCUGCAACUAGCAACAUUAACAAAAGGUUGAGCAAGCGGUAACAUAGCCAGACAGUGGCUUGCCGUGUUGUGGAAAGGUUAGAGGUUUUCAUGGCAAUGUUGGGAGGCAUGUUAAUAGGUGGUAGGUGGCGAGACAUAACGAAAGAAAUGAGACAACUAGCAUGACAAUGAUAGUAAUGGUAUUUAGGGAAAUGAUCAUCUUGCCUGUGAUCCCACUUGGAAGUAGAACGAAUCCCGUGAAGCAGAUGAAUCAACGUAGUGGAACGGAUCCUCUCACUCUGAAGCGGUUCAGAACUCUAUCGAGAAGAAGCAAACCGAAAUAACAAGAAUUAAUACAAAAUAUUCAUCACGGUACAUGCAUGAUAUGAUGCACAAUCAAAUAUGAUGCAUGUCCAUUUCAAUUAUGCAAGCCAUGUCAUGGAAACUCACAACAAUCAAACACUACGCAUUAAGUGAACUCAAUAUGCAACGACUUGCAUAUUGACGAAACUCCACAUACGAAUUAUUUAGUUCACUCCCGUUUAGGUACACGACAAUAUUAAAUGUUGUUUAAACAUGGUAAAAGGUGAAGCACAAAUAAACUACCUAUCCAGGCAUUUUAAAUGAGGUCGGAAACGACAUAUAUCAUUUUCGAAACGACCCCCACAAGUUAACUUUGAAGUCUGUCCAGAUGUGCUCUAAACAUAUUUUAUGUUUGUUAAACGGCACAAUAAAAUGGAGCACAUGACACUACGUGCUAUUCUAGUCGGUUUACAUUUAUAGCUCAUCUCCCACGGUGUUGCGUUUUAAAAGAUACGAGCAUAACAAGAUCAUAUGACAUGGAUGCCCAAUGCAUGCAAAAAUAAUAUUAAGGUGGCUCGGACCCGUACCUAUCAAUUUUUGGAUGCAAACCAAUGGUGCUAACCACUGCACCACUGUUGCCAAAAUAUAUACUGUAGCAGGGAUCUAAUUGCUGCGUGUGUGCUGGAGUAAGUAAAACGAAACAAAAAAAAAACCACGCAAAAGAAUUGGGGGGAUCUGGGCAUCGAUCCAUGCAUCUACAAAGUGAAGGACCAAGGAGCUUGACAAUACACUUCUGCUGUGUGAUGUGUUCGAGCUAUAGAAAAACUCUUGCGUAUUCAGCCAUGCGACGGAACGGACAGAUUACCAAAACCAGAGGACAUGGCCGGUCUUGCAGCUGAGGAACUCGGCCACUACAAUGCAGGGGCAUGAGAGCUUCGUGUGCGCAUGGUGCAGCAGGGAGUACGUGCGCUCGUGUGCGCGUGUGUGCAACCGGGAGGCAAAGGCUGAGCUUGACUCGUGCCAUAGCCGUCCAUGCCGACAAAGGCCACGGGCGAGAUGGGGAAUGGCAGCUAAGGCGACGAAACCAAUAGGAUAGAGAGAUGGGGGGAGGAGAAGGACCGCAGGUGCUCACCAAGCUCGCGCAUGAGGUCGCCGAGGAUGGAGGCAGCCAGGUCGGAUCGGCAACACAGGAGGCUUUGGCCUGUCCGGCUUCGAUGGCUUGCCAGCCAGCCGGACGCGGGCUAUGGAGCAAGCUCCAGGCAUGGGGGCGUGGCUGGCCGAGGCGGCGGCGACUGGAAUGGCGACGAGAUCGGCUUGGCUCGGGCUCGCGAGGAGAGGUGGAGCGGGUUGCUUGCUAGAGGUUGUGGAAGGCCGGACCUCGCGCGGCGCGGCAGCUUCGAUUAGACAUGGAGUCUCCUCCUCGCAUGAAAAGAAACAGAGGAGAAGCAGAGGGUGAGAGAGGACACGAGAGAAGGAUACAUGAGAUGGUCAUCCGCAGGGCUCUCUCCGCGGGGUAGGACACCGACGGCCUGGUCGAUCUGCCGGUUGGGGACGAUGGGGUCCGACGCUGGUUGGAUGGAAUGGAAGGAUUGGGCUGGCUGACGCAAAAAUCCCGGGAGGUCGUCGGAUCGGUUGUGGAUCUGGGAGAUCCCGAGGUGGGAGGUGACUCGUGGCUGGCUGGCGGCGGCGACGGGGCGGGAGUCCUACA